AUUGAACGCUGGCGGCAUGCUUUACACAUGCAAGUCGAACGGCAGCGCGGGCUUCGGCCUGGCGGCGAGUGGCGAACGGGUGAGUAAUACAUCGGAACGUGCCCAGUAGUGGGGGAUAGCUCGGCGAAAGCCGGAUUAAUACCGCAUACGACCUGAGGGUGAAAGCGGGGGAUCUUCGGACCUCGCGCUAUUGGAGCGGCCGAUGGCAGAUUAGCUAGUUGGUGGGGUAAAGGCCUACCAAGGCGACGAUCUGUAGCUGGUCUGAGAGGACGACCAGCCACACUGGGACUGAGACACGGCCCAGACUCCUACGGGAGGCAGCAGUGGGGAAUUUUGGACAAUGGGCGAAAGCCUGAUCCAGCAAUGCCGCGUGUGUGAUGAAGGCCUUCGGGUUGUAAAGCACUUUUGGCGGGAACGGAAAGGACUGUGCCAAUAUU
rnacentral:rRNA from 1 species